ACGGAUGCAGAAUACGAAGCUGGCCACAAUUCCAUCAGUCGUAUCAAUGUAGAAGUACAUCCAUAUUUUACUGCUACAUGGAAUGGCGUUGUGGAAUUUCCGUACACAAAUUGGUGUGUUAGGUCCAAAGUAUCGUAGAAGGGGGGGGUUAAAUACAAUACUCACUAUAAUUUAAAAUUCUUUCGAAUCUUGCGGAUAAAUAAAUUGCAGUCCUGUAAUGGGUUUCGUCUUCCGGAUAUUUAUCGGGUCGGUUUCUGAGGAUAUGAAAAUAUUAAACCAACAAACAAUAUUUUCAAGGUAUAUCUGUAUAUUGAUAAAUACCUCGAAGGUGCUACAAAUCCAAACCCGAAGGUUGGCUACAAUGAACACUCCUCUAAAUAUUACAAGCCCUAUCCACUACAAAUAUUUAUGGUACAAAACUAGGCUAGGGUGUGUGUAUAUUUGAGAGAGUUUGUGCAUAGCACUUGGCCAUCCAUCCCGAAGGAUGAUGUUAAUUGUGAAAACCACAAUCACAUAUUUAUAGGCUUUCAUAAACUAACCAUGGUUAACGAGUUCGUCCUGGACGACUUGAGUUCGUCCUGGACGGAUUCAGAUAUUCAAAAUAAAACUAACUCCAAAACAAAGUUGCGCCAUAGCUGUUGAUUAGAGGAGCAACAUUUGACCAGGUCAAAUGUUGUUCCAAUAUAGUGCUUCCCUUGUAGUGUUUGUGACUUAGAAAUUAUUCUAAGUUACAAGGAGUUUAUGCCAAGAGUUGUUGGUAGAGGAGCAACAUUUGACUGGUCAAAUGUUGUUCCAAUAUAGUGCUUCCCUUGUAGAGUUUGUGACUUAGAAAUUAUUCUUAGUUACAAGGAGUUUGUGCCAAGAGUUGUUGGUAGAGGAGCAACAUUUGACCGGUCAAAUGUUGCGCCAAGUUCAAACCUUGCGCCCGGGUCAAACCUUGCGCCUUGGUCAAAUGUUGCGCCCGGGUCAAACCUUGCGCCUUGGUCAAAUGUUGCGCCAUAGAGUAUACAAGAGGUACUUGGUGACUUAGAGAAAUUCUAAGGCAAAUAUGAACUUGCUCCACCAUUGUAAUGCUUCCCUUGUUAUCACUCCUUUGACUGAGAUUGACUUGAGUUUGCUCCUCUCCCUACUUAGCCAAAUUAGCUCAAAUCUUGAGUUGGCACAAAUCAUAUAUUAUAUAUAUUAUAUUAUAUUCAUAAUAUUAUAUAAAUAUAUGUAUAAAUAAAGAUAUACAUAUAAAUAUAUAUAAAUAAUAUUUAUAUAAACAUAUAGUAAUAUAUAUAUAUAUAUAUAUAUUUAAAUAUAUUCUCAUAUAUUUAAAUAUAUAUAAUAUACAUAAAAUUAUAUGUAAAUAUAAAUAUAAAUAUAUAUAGGGAUAUAUAUAUAAUUAUCUAUAGAUAUAAAUAUACACAUAUUUAUGCACAUAAUAUAAUAUAUAUAUAUACACUUAAAUAUAUAAAUGUUUAUGUAAAAUAUAAAUACAUAUACUAUAUACAUAUAUAUUUAUUUAAAUAUAUAUACAUAUAAAUAUACAUAUACAUAUGUUUAAAAACAUAUAUACAUAUAUAUUAUAUAUAUUAUAUUUAAUUAAAUAUACAUAUAUACAUAUAUAAUUAUAUUUGUACAUAUACAAAUAUAUAAGUGCACACAUAUAUAAAAUGUCACUUCCUGAUAUGGCUUUCUGUGGAAGCUUUGACAUAUGGCAUUUGAGCAGUAAGCUUUGGCAUAGCUGGCAUUUGGCUUGGCUUGGCUUUGGAACAAAUGACUUGAUAUGACUGGAUCAAUUCUUCGAUCGAUAAAUACUUUGCAAAGCUUCGUACGUGCUGACGCUUAGUGCACUGGUCUGGUUCACAAGCGGCUAACACUGAAGUUAAACAUUGUACCGUCUUUGUCAGCAAACAUUGAUCAGUCGGUUCCGGGUUAGUUUAUGCUUCAGUUUGUUGAUUAUAAAUAACCAACCAAGAUAUAUAGAAAUAUCUUGCUUCAGGGGUUGCACUGAAAUCUUUCGAGUACUUGGACAACAUCUUCAUUGCUUCCACAAUCUUGAAUACUUCAAUCUUUAUUCUUCACUGAGGCAUGAACAUAUUAAUGAACUUCUUCCAGUGAACUUAUUCCUUCAAGACUGUAGAUGGCUUCUUCAACCUUUGUCUUCGUAUCUUCCGAUUCCGGUGCAGGCGUAGUGUUAUUUACUUGUCCUGUUCUAUUGUUGAGUUAUCAUCCCUAUGUAACAGAUAGGGUUGUCUUUACAUUUAGACUUACAAUAUCCCCCUAUUUGUUUGUUAAUCAUAACAAGCAAAUCCUCUGGAGGAUAACUCAACUAACACUAGAAAAAGUAAAGUCCUGGACUAGUAAAUAAUGCUACAAAGUUUCUGGAUCAUAUAAUACAUUUCCAGAUUUCAUGAAUAGAAAUAACAGAUGUGCAUAUCACCUUUAUUUCUCUGGUUCUUGCUUACCUGCCAGAUAAUCCUCAUAGUCUGUCUUGAAGAGAAUUCAAAACAUUCCAUUAUGCAAAGAACAAUCAGCAGCUUCAUUGAAUUCUUCAGUGGUAAUGAAUAAGUUCCUGUCUACCACUUACUGAAGAAUAAAUGUAUCACCUUAUACUUCUCCUCCCGUUACCUUGAUCAGGUUCCCCUUAGUGAUAAGUAGUUGUCUCCCCUUAGAUGAAAGAUCAAUCCUCCUCCUUAGUCUCAAGAAGAAUCUCCCCCUCAGUAGUACACAGCUAAAGAGUAGUUUAAUCCCCCUUAGUUGUAGACAGCUAAAGAAAGCUAACUUACUUUUUCUUCCCCCUUUCAUAUAUUCUCCCCCUAAAUAUAUUCUCCCCCUUAGUUGUGGAAUCCUCCGAGGAUAUGUGGUAUCAAAUAUGGUCAAGGAACGUGUCCAAUACAUCCUGUACCAAAAGAUAAUAUCCCCGUAGAGAACUAAACAACGCUAAAGCUGGGGUCGAAGAAAGAGUUCAGAAGAAGGGUUUACUUUGAUUGGGUUGGUCCCUAUGCUAAAAGAAUAGGUUCCAAACGGAAAAGUAAUGAAUAAGAACUGACAUUCCAGUAACAACAUCCACUUUGUCUUUAGGUAUAAAUUUGGUAAUUAGUGGGUGUCUCACUAAAAUGUUCUGCAGGUGUAUCACUCAACACUCAAUUUUCUCUCGGUUUUUGGGUAAGGGUGUCACUCACGAGUUCUGUAAGUGUAUCCCUCCACACAAAUACUGAGCUUCCAAAAUGCUGAGUACCUGCAAGAAAAUCACCUUAGCCACCCUUAAAGGGGGUCACCGGUGGUGCAAUGGGAGUUCGUAAUUCCCAGUCCCUGCAGACUCAUCAGAUAAAUCCGAAUCAUGGUCCACAAGUUGCCAACCACUAAGUGGCUUAUCCAAUUAAGGAUCCAGAGUUGUUUGCUCUAGGAGGUUAGGCAAAGACUUUAUUAUGGCAAAGGCCUAAGUCCUCCUCGAUGUCUGUGAAGACACUUGAUUCAACAGAAUCAUCAACCAUAGGUUCACAACAUGAAAUGGAAUGAACCGUAGUUGCUUCCGUCAAUUCUUUCAACAGCUUGUGAGCUUUCAAUACCAAUUAUUAUUAUAUGUACCUCACAAGUGUUUCAGUCUUCUCAAUUUCCUAUGUGUUUGCACCCACUCAUGNNNNNNNNNNNNNNNNNNNNNNNNUCAGAUGGUUCUUCUCAGAAUCUUACCAAGUGUUUAACUCUCAGUGUUUCUCUCAGCACUCAAAGUAUGAUCUUCUAUACCUGCAUGAGAAAAUCACCAUAGCCCCUUCAAGAGAGGUCACUGGCGGUGCAAUGGGGUUUCGUAAAUCCCCGAUCCUCAACUGACUCAUCAAUAAAUUGACUCAUAGUCAGAGAGUUGCCGAUCUCCUAUAAAUAGGAAAUCCAUUCCAAUUGGAUCCAGAUCUGUUCUUAUCUGGGGAGGGAGACGAGAAUCCUGAAGAUUUGGCAAUUGAGAUCCUCGUUUCCUCCUUACACCUGUAAAGGCAUCAACCAUCUUCUUUACCGUAAAAUGGUAAAUGAAGAAGUUGCUUCUGGAACAAAACCUUUAACCUUACUGUGCACUCUCUUGUAUUGUGUCCAUAAGAUUUUCUGUUUAGGCUCUUCAUCAGAGUGAUUACUAAUGAUGUGCUUGACUCAAUACAGGAUGCUCUGGCUGACGAGCGAAUUUCAAUGGACUCAUCCUGUUGAGAGAAUGAUUCCAGAGAUUGUUUAAUUGCCUUUUAAGCUCUAUAUUCUUUUGGGAGAAUACAGAUGAGCAACAGUUACCUCAAUUUUGAAAACACCUUUUCUCCUUGAGAGGUAGAGCUGUGGGUACACUAUCCCUUACAUCCUUAUUUGCUGCAACGAGUACAGUUUCUCCCUCAUUGACUUUUUGUUUGAAAAGUUCCUUAUUACUCCAGGGGAAAGUUGGGAUGUGUUUUGAAUUUGGUUUUAUAGUCUGGGAUAUAGAUUGUUGGUUUUCAACCUUAUGACUAUUUAGGAAAGCCAAGAGGCUGAUUAAGUACCGAAGAACAGAAUGAGAUAUAAAUGCACUUUAGAAAAUCUAUGAUUUUGAAUGAAGGCAAUUGUAUUUAAUCUUUUGAGAAAAAUGAAUCAGUUGUGAUUGUAAAAAAUGAUUUGCAUAAAGAAUGACAAUCACAACAGAUGAAAGAAUCAAGAUUUUCCAUUAAAAAUUGGUUUGAGUACGAGAGUCUGAAUCUAUGCAUAAAAGGUUUAAAUGAAGCUUUGAAAAAGACACAGACUCCUGUUUCUCACUACAAUUUAAAAAGGAAACAAGAAAAAUUUAUGCGCUACAGUGUAUAAAGCACUCGCCACACUAAUUAGUGAAAAGGCCUCAUACUAGCACAUCGUCAAAACAGACGCUGCAAGUGACAAAGAUCACCAAGUACACAAAUACAAGAUAAUCAAUGUCUCGUCCUAUGACGCUACAUGUAUAGAUGCAAAAUAUUCUAAGAAAUAUUUAUGAAAUAGAGUAGUGGAUACCAAUUGUUGAAAUCAAUUGAUAAGAAAAUUUCUUUGAAGAAACUCACCACUCCAGAACAUAAAUAUGAGACAGAAUAAAGAUUAUGUUGUCUCCCUUGUACUCAGAAUAUUAAACACCUAAAAUAUAUUAGCACUAGUGGUUUUAAGAAAUAUGCAACAAUAUUUCACCAGUGCCAAUACAUCACAAUCAAUUCACAAAUAAAACAUCAAUAAAGCAUCAAAGAGAGAUACCAAUUAAAUAAUUCAAAACGUUAAUUAAUCAUGCAUCUAUUAUUCUAUCAAAGUCAAUCAUGAAACAAAUAAGCAUAUAAUUGUCAUGGAUCACAAUUUAACUAAGAUAAAAUAAUAAUUACUUACGGAAUAUCAUAUAAUUAUCAGAUCAGCAUAUAACAACAAAAAUCAUGACAAUCAUACAAAGAUAUUCGUAAGCCCGAGGGAAAGUUGAAGAAAAGUUCACGAGUCUUAUACAUGUAAGCAUUGAGUACAAGUAAACUCACACAACUCCUCGCAGAAAAUAUUAACAAUUAAUAUUAGUGAUCUACAUAUAAGCAUGCAAAAAAUCACUAACACUAAAAGUAUCACACCUAUAUGCAGUUAGACAUGAAAUAAAAUACCAAUUAAUAAAUCAUCAAAUAUCUAACACAAAUAGCUAUGCUUCACAUAUAUACACUAAUAUAAAUGGAUUCAGCCUAGAGAGAAUCUAAGUAACUCCACAAAUACUAGUAUAUCAUGACUAAAUUCUAACUAGAUUCUAACCACAUACCAAUUACUGAUACAAGUCACAAGUCUAGAAACAAAUAAGUCAUGCUUCAGAUUUUAUACCUAUAAAAAUGAAUUCAACCUAGAAAAUAAUCCUAAGUAUGUUCACAAAUACAGAUAUAUCACGACUAGAUUAUGACAAAGUUCUCUACUAGAUACCAAUUGUUAAAGAGGUAUAGAUCAAGAAAAAUAACAUAAUUAAGUCAUGCUUCAUGUCAUCUCUAAUCAUUUAAAUCAUGAACAAAUAAGUCACUUAAUUGUCAUGCAACACAAUUUAAAUAAUUUGAAAUAACAAACACUCAUGCUAAAACAUAUAAUCACCAUCUAAGCAUGCAAAGCAAUAAACAUGGCAAUCACAUAUAAUAGCAAAAAGCACGAGGUACUGGAUUUUAAAUAAAUUCACAAGUCCUAUGUAUAGACAAUUUAAUACUCAUGAAUUCAUUCAAGAAAUACGAUAGACAUGCUCAUGAAAGAGGUAAUACCUUAUAGAAAAUAUAUCAUGUGAUCCACUUGCAGUUAAGUAAAGUGAUAAGUUGAAUACCUCUGAGACUUGACAUUUCAGUUGAUGUACCUUUCUUGUACUGAUCAAGUCCAGUGAUUGUUGGCAUAAGUCUUGGCAGGUCUAAAAUCUUCCAAAAUGCGCAUAUUCAAAGGAUCCUUGACUUCCUUUUAUUGCCAUCAUUCUUUAGGCUAACUAGUAUGCCAUAAAGAAUUGCAACUUUCCAACAAACUCAUCAUAUCACUAAUCUGCAUUCACUUAGCAUUUAUCAUGCACAAGUGACGUUAGUCCACAUAUAAUAUAAUCAUGGUAUCACAGCACAUAUAUUUGUAUUGUGUGUGCCUUGUAUCAUGAGAGGUAAUAAUUUGGAUACAAAAUAUGACUCUAGCAAACAGAUAUUAAGAUAAUAUGCUAGUCAGAAGUCAUACCAUGUCCGUGACGAUCAUCAGGUGUUGGAUAGCAACUCAUAGAGAGCUGGUGAAGAAAGAGAAUACAAAUUCCGUUGGAUCUGCAACUGCAAAGUCCUUGAAAUGUUGCAUGAAGCUUCAUCUUCUAGCUCACUGUAAUAUCCUGAACCCGAGUCUCGUCAAUGCUGCUUUAGUUCAAUCGUGAAGGUCGUUGAGUCCUCUAAGAUGUAGAGUCCUGAACUUGAAGAUUCUGUUUCCAUCAUCUUCAUAACCUUCUCCUUUAAAGUAACUCUAAGCAACCAAUUUGGCUUGUCCCUCGUAACAAAGCCAAAAAUUAUCCAGUUGGAAUCUAAAUACCCGACAAGUACUAAGUACUGAAUUGUCAUUAGGUCAGGGUAUCAGACUCCGCACAAUCUGCUUUUAAACUGAUUGAGAUCAUCUUGCUGUGCAAUCACUUUAUCUGGAUCCCUUUAAGAGCUUCUGAAUCUUCCCCAAGUUUCACUUCAGAUUGAAACCCAAAGAAAUAACAUCCUUUCACAAUAGCUCUCCCAGUCUUCACUUCACCAUUAGGAACAUAUAAGAACUAGAACCCGAGAAUGAUAUUGACUUCAAACCCUUUGUCUAAGCAGAUACGUUCUUCAUAUGUCCUGUUCAUCUUCAAUGUAGUGUUGAGUUUGACUAGUGGAUCCACCAAAUGCUCCCCCUAAGCUGUUGCUGGGAUUUCUUGAUAAACCUUAUCCUUGUAAAGAAAUUCUGCUUGGAUUUGAACCAUCAUUAUACCAAUAAUAUCACCUUUAACAGCUUGGAGCAAAGUGUCAUUCAAUGUCCCGUCUAGACUUACAAUCACCUUCUAUUGAUCAAUCAUAAUCACCCUGCAGACUGUAGACUCCAUUGAGUAGCCGAGGAAAGUAUUCUUUGAUCUUCAAAUGCAAAACUUGCAAAGAGGCAUUUUCCUCCAAACACAUACCAAGAGUUAGUGUUUGCUUCUGAUUGGUCACUGGAAAGAAUGGUGUCUUUCUGGAUUUAUCAAUGAUCAGGGUUCAUCUUGAUCAACCUCCAUCUGUGACGUCUUGUCCUUCGAACAUAUAUGAACAACACGAAAGAAUCUAGAGUAGUCAACGAUCAUCGCAAAAAGAUAUCUGGAUUUGUUGUAGAUAUAACAUUAACUGAUUUGUAGAAAUCCAUAUGUAUCAUCUGAAGCGGCUCAGUAAUGUUAAUCAUAUCUUUGCUUCUAUACGAUGCUCUUUCGACUUCCCUAUUGAUAUACCUCAUGAGCUUCAUCCAUAUUGAAUUCCAGAUGAGGUAGCCCUCUCACAAAUUCUCUUCUUACGAAUAAAAAGAGCUCCUUGUUUUGACAUACAAGCUUGAGAGCUUCAAGUGCCAUAGCUAAUACUCAUCCGAUGAAGCUUCUCUAUCGAAACAGCUCACUUCAUCUUCAGUUGAAGUUCCAUAUUAGCUACGAGCAAAAUUCACAUCCUUCCUGAUUUAAGAUAAAACACUAUUCCAUGAAAUGACAUAAUGUCCUUUGUCAGAGAACCGUAUGAUACUAGGAAUGUGUGUUUUGACUUCUUGCAAGAAGGAUAUGCUUCCAUGAUGACAUUCCAGGAAAACAGGCAUGUCCCGAGAGAAUCUUUGUUGUCAUCUUUCAAAGAUUAUUGACGGAACUGCUCACACGAUCACAUUUGCUAACAGGGUACUUUUGGUGAAUCAUAUGAUUUCAGCUACUCAGCAAACAGAGUGCACCAAAAAUCAUAUGGAACAUAUGUAACCUGCAAUCACAAAUGGAAAGAGUUCUAUGGUCCCCAAUCAUAACUGGGUCCGGAUGGAUUAGAGAUUUUUCUUUAACAGUGGUAACAACAGAAGCAACCUUAACAUGCUAAUUCUUAUCUAGACAUUGCCCUAAUGUGAUUCUCAAACAUGCUUUUGUUCUAUGGUCCCCAAUCAUAACUGGGUCCGGAUGGAUUAGAGAUUUUUCUUUAACAGUGGUAACAACAGAAACAACCUUAACAUGCUAAUUCUUAUCUAGACAUUGCCCUAAUGUGAAUCUCAAACAUGCUUUUCUAAAAUCAAUGCAAGUACAAAGACAUGCAUUCAUGACAUGAAAAUAAACAGACAUGAUGUUGAAUACACAUGGCAAACAAUCAAAGAUAAGACAAUAGCAAGACAGGUAGUUAUGCAAUUUAGAAGAUUCAGUACUUUCUACUUAAACCAAUUAACACAAGUGUAACAGGUAGAAAGCAGAAUUACAGAUAUUCAAUAAUCUCCUAAACACAUAAUGAUCAUAGACAAAUUAAUAAUCACAUUAUCAAUUCAUACUAAUCCCACUCUAUGGCAUUAUGCUAUCUCUAUUACCUAAGUCAGUUUUAGAUCUAACAUGAAGUUCUACAGACACAAGGUAGACAUUCCAUCAUAGAACAAAUAAAUCCCUUAACAAACAAUUCAGAUUAGAUAAGCAAAUCUAAUUGUACUAGGGAAUCUGAAAGUAAGUGUUUUAACAAAGUUAUAUAUGCUAGGAUCAUAACCCCUAAAACUAAGAGUCGUGUUCCAAAGGAAAGCUUCUAAACUCACCAUUGCAAAUAAUCAUAUCCUAAAUAUUCAUACACAUGUUAAAAAUCUGCUAGAGACACAUGCACAAGAUUAUCAUCAAACCUAGUUACUAGAGAAGUGAUCUAGCAUACUAGUUCAACAUUAUCUAUUGUGAUGCUAUCAUGCUUGUGCUUGUGUGUUAAACAAUUCUACUCAGAGAUUUAUAACAUGCUUUGAAUAUAAAGAAAUAUGUAUUGCAUAGUUAGAAAGAAUUCGUACCUGAGAUGUGCGAGUUGAGUCAUCUUCAGAGAAUGCUAGGAUAGCCAGAUAACCAUAAUCGUCCUUUUCAUCAGCAAUUGAUCCAUCUCACACCUUUCCUAAAAUAGCAUAAGAACUUGUUGUGAUGCUUCUUUCAAAACAUCCACUUGAAUUUUAUACAAGCCCUAUCAUCCUUGUUUGUCGAGGCUUCAAUAUGUAUAGCAACCUUCUUUUGCUAAAGAUACCAAUCAAUAUUGUGUGUACUGACCAACUCAGUUUUCAAACAACCUGUCGAACUGAACCCCGAAGAUUCUUUGCUAAAGAUACCAAUCAAUAUUGUGUGUACUUACCAACUCAGUUUUCAAACAACCUGUCGAACUAAACCCCGAAGAGUCUCCACUUGAAACCAAUGGAUUCCAUCUGAAUCUGACAUGACUAAACCUCUCACACAGUGUUAUGCUAAUCCUUGAAGUUCUGUCCUCACAUUCUUCAAAAAUGUUAACUUUCGUCGACUUGAGCUUCCUCAAAUUCAGUAGUUACAAACUCUCCUGUUUAAUCCCAAGGUUCUGACAUUAAUGCACGAAACUGAUUUGGUACGGUAGUAACUCGAUAAUUAUAUCCUUAAACCUCCACAGUUCUCUGUCUUUGGUUCAGUUGAUUCUGGAUGGAUUUAGCAUUGAUACAAUUCACUGUGUAAUUGUAUAUCCCUGAAUCACUGAGUUCGAUUGAAAUCCCUUGAAGAUUCGUCCGUAAAAACUUCUAUUUUCCUACUACCAGUGGUGCCAUUCAAAGUUGACAUUCCGAGCCCUGGGAAGAUGCACUCAACACAUAAAGCAAGUUCCCAUCCUGAUCUGUUGAUCUGAUAAUCAAGUAGGAGUAAUUACUCAGAUCAAGGCCUGAAGUACCUUCUUCAAAAUCCACUGUCAGUAGUACCAAAUUAGUCUUCAAUAGAAUCUUCUUCGAAUCACAAUCCUCUUUGUCGAACAUAGAAAACUGCUUCUAAUAAUCCUUUGAGAAAUCAAUUGGAUUGGGUUAUCAAAGUACUUCCAUUACCGGUUCUGAGAAUCUGGUUUUUGAAAGCCCGGUGUUUGUCUUGUAAUCUGUCAGCCUGAUCUGUCUCAACUAAAUGUCAAUCUGAUUUGUCUUGGAGUAGAAUAAUUAAAAAGGUUACGGGACACUUGAUUAUUUAAACUAAGUUUAAAUUAUAAAGAAAAUAAAUUUAAAAAUAAGUUUUAAAAGAUGAAAGAAAAUAAAGUAUAAAAUAAACUUAGUUAAAUCUAUAAAGUAAAUUUAAUUAUAUUUAAAAAAUAAAUUCAAAUAAAUUCAUAAUAAACUGAAUAAGUUUAGAAUAAAUUUAUUUCAAAUUCAUUUAGUAAAUAUAUUAAAAUUUAUUAGAUAAAUUUAAUUUUUGAAAAUAUUCAAGUGUCUCGUCUCCAAUUAAAUCAUAGCUUCCAGAACAAAUUAAAUUGAACCCUUGAACUUGAACUUAUAUCCAUAAUCAGUUAAAUCCUCUUAAAUUUAUAUUUUAUAUUUUAACUUAAAUUUAAAUCAUAAACUAUACAAAUUUAAAUAAUAAAUUUAUAAAAAUUUAUGAUAAACUUGAUAAAGUCUAAGAGUAAACUUUACAAGUCUAAAAUAAAUUUAGGCAAAUUUAUUAAAUGAAUUUAGUAAAGUUUAUAAAGUAAAUUUAAUUAAGUUUAUAAGAUAAAUUUAAUUAAUUCAUAAUAAACUCAAUUAAUAAGUUUAAAAUAAAUUAAAUCAAAUUUUUAAAUAAACUUAUUAAAAUUUAAAGUAUAAAUUUAUAAGUCCCGGUCCAAAGUUCAGUAUCCAACAGAUAAUCCUUACUUAGGCCUACGGACAAAUUCAGCAACACCAACCGGAAGAACAUUUCCCCUAAUCAAAUAUCAAAAGCUAGGUUCUUGAUUUUCCGUACGAUAAGGAUCCUGAUUUGUAUAUCAAUCAGCCUGGCUCUGAUACCAAUUGUUAGGUCCAAAGUAUCGUAGAAGGGGGGGUUGAAUACGAUACUCACUACAAUUUAAAAUUCUUUCGAAUCUUGCGGAUAAAUAAAUUGCAGUCCUGUAAUGGGUUUCGUGUUCCGGAUAUUUAUUGGGUCGGUUUCUGAGGAUAUGAAAAUAUUAAACCAACACACAAUAUUUUCCAAGGUAUAUCUGUAUAUUGAUAAAUACCUCGAAGGUGCUAUGCUACAAAUCCAAACCCGAAGGUUGGCUACAAUGACCACUCCUCUAAAUAUUACAAGCCCUAUCCACUACAAAUAUUUAUGGUACAAAACUAGGCUAGGGUGUGUGUAUAUUUGAGAGAGUUUGUGCAUAGCACUUGGCCAUCCAUCCCGAAGGAUGAUGUAAAUUGUGAGAACCACAAUCACAUAUUUAUAGGCUUUCAUAAACUAACCAUGGUUAACGAGUUCGUCCUGGACGGAUUGAGUUCGUCCUGGACGGAUUCAGAUAUCCAAAAUAAAUCUAACUCCAAAACAAAGUUGCGCCACAGCUGUUGAUUAGAGGAGCAACAUUUGACCAGGUCAAAUGUUGUUCCAAUAUAGUGCUUCCCUUGUAGAGUUUGUGACUUAGAAAUUAUUCUAAGUUACAAAGAGUUUGUGCCAAGAGUUGUUGGUAGAGGAGCAACAUUUAACCGGUCAAAUGUUGCGCCAAGGUCAAACCUUGCGCCUGGGUCAAAUGUUGCGCCCGGGUCAAACCUUGCGCCUUGGUCAAAUGUUGCGCCCGGGUCAAACCUUGCGCCACAGAGUGUACAAGAGGUAUUUGGUGACUUAGAGAAAUUCUAAGGCAAAUAUGAACUUGCUCAACCAUUGUAAUGCUUCCCUUGUUAUCACUCCUUUGACUGAGAUUGACUUGAGUUUGCUCCUCUCCCUACUUAGCCAAAUUAGCUCAAAUCUUGAGUUGGCACAAAUCAUAUAAUUCGAUUUAACAAAAUAAAUCUAACUCCAAGAAAGUAAAAGUGGCGCCUGAGGUAUACAGUGUGUAUAUAUAUAUCAAAGUUGCGCUUGAUAUAUAUAUACACAUAUAUUCAAAUGUUGCGCCUCCUUUAUACUCCACUGUAUUGCCUUAGACUGAAUUCUAAGUACAGGGUCAAAGGUUGCGCUUAGCAAGUCAAACCUUGCGCUGCACUUUGCUUCACAUAGAGACAUGACUUAGAUUAAUUCUAAGUGAAGGUUGCGCCAGUAUCUUCCCUUGUAUGUGUGGCGCCAACUUUGACCAAAAGUCAACAGUUGCGCCAGUUGCUUCGAAGGCUUGCAGUGAUGACUUGGAAAUCGUCUAAGUAGAGCACACUCUUGGAGGCGCAAACUUUGACCAAGUCAAAGUUUGCGCUCCAACAGAGUUACAUGGACUUGUGUACUUAGUCAAAUUUCCAACGAGACAACUUGGCGCAGGUUUUGACUUCGAGUCAAACCUUGCGCUUCAUUUUGUUUACAGAGUAGAGAAGAGGAAAUAUUCUAAGUGUAGGAAGGUUAUUGAGGCGCAAACUUUGACUUAGUCAAAGUUUGCGCUUCAACAAUGUUGGCGCCUCCCCUAGUGUACUUAGACCAUUUCUUGACUUACAUACUUGCAUCACUUAUUAAAUAUAUAUAUAUAUAUAGAACUAAUUGUGUUUAAUUAAUUACUUGAAUUAUUUAUAUUCAAGUAAUUCAUACUUCCUGAUAUGGCUUUCUGUGGAAGCUUUGACAUAUGGCAUUUGAGCAGUAAGCUUUGGCAUAGCUGGCAUUUGGCUUGGCUUGGCUUUAUAUAUAUAUAUAUAUAUAUAUAUAUAUAUGAAUAAAUUCUUUGGCCAUAUUCUGGAGUAGCUCGAUUGACUUGAUCAAUUAAUUCGUUGAUCGAAUCCACUGAAUACUUUCGUACGUCCUGACGUCCUGUGCACUGGUCUGGUUCACAAGCGACUAACACUGAAGUUAAACAUUGUACCGUCUUUGUCAGCAAACAUUGAUCAGUCGGUUCCGGGUUAGUUUAUGCUUCAGUUUGUUGAUUGUAAAUAACCAACCAAGAUAUAUAGAAUAUCUUGCUUCAGAUGUUGCACUGAAAUCUUUCGAGUACUUGGACAACAUCUUCAUUGCUUCCACAAUCUUGAAUACUUCAAUCUUUAUUCUUCACUGAGGCAUGAACAUAUUAAUGAACUUCUUCCAGUGAACUUAUUCCUUCAAGCCUGUAGAUGGCUUCUUCAACCUUUGUCUUCGUAUCUUCCGAUUCCGGUGCAGGCGUAGUGUUAUUUACUUGUCCUGUUCUAUUGUUGAGUUAUCAUCCCUAUGUAACAGAUAGGGUUGUCUUUACAUUUAGACUUACAAUCUCCCCCUAUUUGUUUGUUAAUCAUAACAAGCAAAUCCUCUGGAGGAUAACUCAACUAACACUAGAAAAAGUAAAGUCCUGGACUAGUAAAUAAUGCUACAAAGUUUCUGGAUCAUAUAAUACAUUUCCAGAUUUCAUGAAUAGAAAUAACAUAUGUGCAUAUCACCUUCAUUUCUCUGGUUUUUGCUUACCUGCCAGAUAGGUGCCCCACUUCUUUUUGUGCUUUUAUUAUGGCAUCAAGUAUUGCAUCAAAUUCGUGUUACUGCGUAGUGAAGCGGUGUCCACCAAUCUUCAGUAAAAUUUACAAGGUGUUUGGCAUCUUUCAAGUGCCG
rnacentral:lncRNA from 1 species